UACGGGGGGGGCAAGCGUUGUUCGGAAUUACUGGGCGUAAAGGGCCAGUAGGCGGCCAACUAAGUCGGAUGUGAAAUCCCCAGGCUUAACCUGGGAACUGCAUCCGAUACUGGAUGGCUUGAAUUCGGGAGAGGGAUGCAGAAUUCCAGGUGUAGCGGUGAAAUGCGUAGAUAUCGAGAGGAACACCGGUGGCGAAGGCGGCUUCCUGGACAGUCACUGACGCUGAGACGCGAAAGCGUGGGGAGCAAACGGG
rnacentral:rRNA from 1 species